rnacentral:rRNA from 1 species
CAUGUAGGCGGGCGAUUAAGUCGGGUGUGAAAUCCCUGGGCUCAACCUAGGAACUGCAUCCGAAACUGAUCACCUUGAGUAGUGGAGAGGAAAGCGGAAUUCCCGGUGUAGAGGUGAAAUUCGUAGAUAUCGGGAGGAACACCAGUGGCGAAGGCGGCUUUCUGGACACUAACUGACGCUGAGAUGCGAAAGCGUGGGGAGCAAACAGGAUUAGAUACCCUGGUAGUCCACGCCGUAAACGAUGAGUGCUGGGUGUCUUGGGUAUUGACCCCCGAGGCGCCGUAGCUAACGCGUUAAGCACUCCGCCUGGGGAGUACGGUCGCAAGACUAAA